AGAGUUUGAUCCUGGCUCAGAACGAACGCUGGCGGCGUGCUUAACACAUGCAAGUCGAACGAGAAAGGGUUCUUCGGAACCCGAGUAAAGUGGCGCACGGGUGAGUAACGCGUAGAUAAUCUAUCUUUAUGUUUGGGAUAACCCUUCGAAAGGGGGACUAAUACCGGAUAUAUUCGUACCUGUUGGGGUAUAAAGGAAAGAUGGCCUCUAUUUAUAAGCUAUCGCAUGAAGAGGAGUCUGCGUACCAUUAGCUAGUUGGUGGGGUAAUGGCCUACCAAGGCAACGAUGGUUAGCGGGUCUGAGAGGAUGAUCCGUCACACUGGCACUGAAACACGGGCCAGACUCCUACGGGAGGCAGCAGUGAGGAAUACUGCGCAAUGGGGGAAACCCUGACGCAGCGACGCCGCGUGAGUGAGGAAGGCCUUCGGGUCGUAAAGCUCUGUCAGAUGGGAAGAAGUGUUAUAUGGUUAAUACUCGUAUAAUUUGACGGUACCAUCAAAGGAAGCACCGGCUAACUCCGUGCCAGCAGCCGCGGUAAUACGGAGGGUGCGAGCGUUGUUCGGAAUCACUGGGCGUAAAGGGCGUGCAGGCGGUUUUAUAAGUCAGAUGUGAAAGCCCACGGCUCAACCGUGGAAGUGCAUUUGAAACUGUAAGACUUGAGUAUCAGAGGGGAAAGUGGAAUUCCCGGUGUAGAGGUGAAAUUCGUAGAUAUCGGGAGGAAUACCGGUGGCGAAGGCGACUUUCUGGCUGAAUACUGACGCUGAGGCGCGAAAGCGUGGGGAGCAAACAGGAUAGAUACCCUGGUAGUCCACGCCGUAAACGAUGUGAACUAGAUGUUGGAGGUGUUGAUCCCUUCGGUGUCGGAGCUAACGCAUUAAGUUCACCGCCUGGGGAGUACGGUCGCAAGAUUAAAACUCAAAGGAAUUGACGGGGGCCCGCACAAGCGGUGGAGUAUGUGGUUUAAUUCGAUGCAACGCGAAGAACCUUACCUGGUCUUGACAUCCCGAGGAUCUCCUGGAAACAGGAGUGUGCUUUCAUUAGAGAGAACUUGGUGACAGGUGCUGCAUGGCUGUCGUCAGCUCGUGUCGUGAGAUGUUGGGUUAAGUCCCGCAACGAGCGCAACCCUCGCCUUUAGUUGCCAUCAGGUUAUGCUGGGCACUCUAAAGGGACUGCCGGUGUUAAACCGGAGGAAGGCGGGGAUGACGUCAAGUCCUCAUGGCCUUUAUGACCAGGGCUACACACGUACUACAAUGGCCGGUACAAAGGGCAGCGAGCUUGCGAAAGUCAGCGAAUCCCGAAAAGCCGGUCUCAGUCCGGAUAGGAGUCUGCGACUCGACUCCAUGAAGCUGGGAUCGCUAGUAAUUGUGGAUCAGCACGCCACGGUGAAUACGUUCCCGGGCCUUGUACACACCGCCCGUCACACCAUGAGAGUUGGUUGUACCAGAAGUUGUCGGGCUAACCCUUCGGGGGUGCAGGCACCUAAGGUAUGGCUGAUGAUUGGGGUGAAGUCGUAACAAGGUA
rnacentral:rRNA from 1 species